UACGGGGGGGCAAGCGUUGUUCGGAAUUACUGGGCGUAAAGGGCUCGUAGGUGGCCAACUAAGUCAGACGUGAAAUCCCUCGGCUUAACCGGGGGAACUGCGUCUGAUACUGGAUGGCUUGAAGUUCGGGGAGAGGGAUGCGGGAAUUCCGAGGUGUAGGCGGUGAAAUGCGUGAGAUAUGGAGGAACACCGGUGGCGAAGGCGGCAUCCUGGACCGACACUGACACUGAGGAGCGAAAGCCAGGGGAG
rnacentral:rRNA from 1 species